UUCACCACCCCCCUACACCAUCAUACCUUCACCACCCCCCUACACCAUCAUACCUUCAGCACCCCCCUACACCAUCAUACCUUCACCACCCCCCUACACCAUCAUACCUUCACCACCCCCCUACACCAUCAUACCUUCACCACCCCCCUACACCAUCAUACCUUCACCACCCCCCUACACCAUCAUACCUUUACCACCCCCCUACACCAUCAUACCUUUACCACCUCCCCACACCAUGAAACCCCUACCACCUCCCCGCAUCUUCACAACUCCACCACCUCUCUGCACUAUUACAACUCUUCUACUCCCACCCCCACCCCCCUGCACUAUCUCACCUCCACUACCUCCCUGUACAGUCUCACCUCCACCAGCCGCCCGCACAAUCAUGCCUCCUGAGUGUAGACCUGUCAGGUGUGAUGGAGGAUGGUGUGUAGACUGUUCAGGUGUGGUUGAGGAUGGUGCGUAGGCCGGUUAGGUGUGGUUGAGGAUGGUGUGUAGGCCGGUUAGGUGUGGUGGAGUAUGGUGCGUAGGCCGGUUAGGUGUGGUGGAGGAUGGUGCGUAGGCCGGUUAGGUGUGGUUGAGGAUGGUGUGUAGGCCGGUUAGGUGUGGUGGAGGAUGGUGCGUAGGCCGGUUAGGUGUGGUGGAGGAUGGUGCGUAGGCCGGUUAGGUGUGGUUGAGGAUGGUGCGUAGGCCGGUUAGGUGUGGUUGAGGAUGGUGCGUAGGCCGGUUAGGUGUGGUGGAGGAUGGUGCGUAGGCCGGUUAGGUGUGGUUGAGGAUGGUGCGUAGGCCAGUUAGGUGUGGUUGAGGAUGGUGCGUAGGCCGGUUAGGUGUGGUGGAGUAUGGUGCGUAGGCUGGUUAGGUGUGGUGGAGGAUGGUGCAUAGGCCGGUUAGGUGUGGUGGAGGCUGGUGCGUAGGCCGGUUAGGUGUGGUGGAGGAUGGUGCGUAGGCCGGUUAGGUGUGGUUGAGGAUGGUGCGUAGGCCGGUUAGGUGUGGUUGAGGAUGGUGCGUAGACCGGUUAGGUGUGGUGGAGGAUGGUGCAUAGGCCGGUUAGGUGUGGUGGAGGAUGGUGCGUAGGCCGGUUAGGUGUGGUGGAGGAUGGUGCGUAGGCCGGUUAGGUGUGGUCGAGGAUGGAGUGUAGACCGGUCAGGUGUGGUGGGGGAUGGAUUGUAGACCGGUCAGGUGUGGUGGUGGAGAGAGCGUAGACCAGUCAGGUGUGGUGGAGGAUGGUGCAUAGGCCGGUUAGGUGUGGUGGAGGAUGGAGUGUAGACCGGUCAGGUGUGGUGUAUGAUGGUAUGUAGACCGGUCAGGUGGGGUAGAGGAUGGAGGCUUCUCCACAUGAUGCAUUAGUUGUAGUCUGAUAUCUCAUACGUUAUGGUGAUAGCUGUCUAUUAUUUUUAGGGUCACAGACGAAUCUGAGAGAGUCCGGAGACCUGAGAUCACAAGUAGCUAUAUACCUUGGUAUAAAGCGUCGGCCCACUCCGGCCUGCUCGGACCUUCCAGGGAUGUGACGAAAUCCAUCCGGCGCCCCCCCUUGAAAUCGCCAACCCCUUUGACUGCUCCCAGUGAAUCUUACCCUGUGGGAAGACCUCGGCCCUUACCAGGCAAGCUCCGCCCACUUGUCACCGUUGGGACGCUGGGACUUUAAGAAGGGGAUUUGUUCUGUGGAAGUCCAUUAGGAUGCUGCUGUAGCUUGUUAAAGCUGGGACAAGCCCCAUCGGGGGUCUGCUGAAUCUGGGGCAGCAACACCCUCCUUUCCUGUUGGGACGCCGUGCCUUUAAGAUGGACGCCUCCUUGUCUGGAUUGCUACACCUGUAGAAAUGGGAGGAUCCGUCAGCCCAUAGGACAUGCCCCUUUUGGAUGUGCCAUGCCCACCUGUCUACUGAGAGCUGUCAUGUGACCGGGGAGGGGCGGUCAUUUCUACUCGGGGUUCUGCUGGAUCGAUAUAACAGUGUCCUCCCCGUCUGGAUCACCUCCUGAUUCUUACCCGACUCCGAACUUUAUAUUAGCUCCGCCCCCAACAUGAGUGCUAUAUUACUGAGUUUUCCGUCACAGGCCCGCGCCCCGUCAUGGCGUCCACCCCACGUAUUAACCAGUUUACGUCCUCGUCCCGCCAGUGCCCCUCCCCUUGCGCUACCGCUCUCAUCCUCUAGGAGGGUCUGUGUAUAUAAUCUAUAUGUGCAGGUCACGCAGAGGAGCGGGCGAUGGUGCCCUGACUGCGCGGUGCCGCCCGCGCCUCCCAACCGCUAUGAAUAUGUCCUGUGUCCUUCCUUCUCAUCACAAUGUUGGGUUACUGAAUGAUGAGUGUGGUAGUCUUCAGGAUUACAGAGAGCACAGCGCAGGCGGGGUGACGCUAGUAGUGUAGAGUGUCAGCAGUGAACCCUCCUUCCUGACAGUGUACCCCAAAACUAUUUAUUAAAGUCACCCUAUGAAACCCA